rnacentral:tRNA from 1 species
GCCUCGGUAGCGCAGUAGGCAGCGCGUAAGUCUCAUAAUCUUAAGGUCGCGAGUUCGAUCCUCACCCGGGGCA